rnacentral:rRNA from 1 species
UCAAAAACAUAGCCUUUAGCCCCACAAGUAUUAAAGGUCUCGCCUGCCCAGUGACUCUUUAAACGGCCGCGGUAUCCUAACCGUGCAAAGGUAGCAUAAUCACUUGUCCCUUAAAUAGGGACUGGAAUGAACGGCUAAAUGAGGAUCAAACUGUCUCUUGCGAGCCGGUCAAUGAAUUUGAUUUUCCAGUUCAAAAGCUGGAAUAAACACAUAAGACGAGAAGACCCUGUGGAGCUUCAAAACCAAGUUCACCAAAUAAUGCUUCCUUCGGUUUUUAGUUGGGGCGACUUCGGAGCACAAAAAAACCUCCAAAACAUGUAAACCCAUUAUAUCAAGAUCAACAAACCACAAAACCACAAGACCCAGCAACAGCCCUUAAUGUUGUCUGACCAAUGAACCAAGUUACCCCAGGGAUAACAGCGCCAUCCCCUUCUAGAGUCCUUAUCGACAAGGGGGUUUACGACCUCGAUGUUGGAUCAGGACACCCCAAUGGUGCAGCCGCCAUUAAAGGCUCGUUUGUUCAACGAUUAAAGUCCUA